GACGAACGCUGGCGGCGUGCUUAACACAUGCAAGUCGAACGGAAAGGCCCUGCUUGCAGGGUGCUCGAGUGGCGAACGGGUGAGUAACACGUGGGUGAUCUGCCCCUUACUUUGGGAUAAGCCUGGGAAACUGGGUCUAAUACUGGAUAGGACCAUGCUGUAGGUGGUGUGGUGGAAAGAUUAGUUUCGGUAAGGGAUGAGCUCGCGGCCUAUCAGCUUGUUGGUGGGGUAAUGGCCUACCAGGGCGUCGACGGGUAGCCGGCCUGAGAGGGUGGACGGCAACAUUGGGACUGAGAUACGGGCCAGAAUCCUGCGGGAGGCAGCAGUGGGGAAUAUUGCACAAUGGGCGCAAGCCUGAUGCAGCGACGCCGCGUGGGGGAUGACGGCCUUCGGGUUGUAAACUCCUUUCAGCCAUGACGAAGCCCUUGUGGUGACGGUAGUGGUAGAAGAAGCACCGGCUAACUACGUG
rnacentral:rRNA from 1 species